CAGAAUUUCUUGACGACCAUAGAGCAUUGGAACCACCUGAUCCCAUCCCGAACUCAGCAGUGAAACGAUGCAUCGCCGAUGGUAGUGUGGGGUUUCCCCAUGUGAGAGUAGGUCAUCGUC
rnacentral:rRNA from 1 species